GAAUGAUGGAGGACAUCAGGGCCAUCUGUCACCCCAUUGAUGGCCAGGGUUGAUUCAGCUGAUCUGGCUGACUAGGCAGGCAUACCCUUCCUCCCUCAUUACUCCAUGUGCACAGCUGUAUGUUCAUUUGAAGGGGAUAACCUCCCCCAAUAGAGGAGGACCAUUCUUCCAUCAAGGGUAGGUGAGUAGCUAGGAUCCUCUCCUAGACCUCCCAAGCUCUCAAGGAUGACGGAGGUGGCAUCUGAAUUGGAUACUGAAGGAGAGUAAGAUCCCGAGAAAUGACACUUU
rnacentral:snRNA from 1 species